rnacentral:rRNA from 1 species
GAUGAACGCUGGCGGCGUGCCUAAUACAUGCAAGUCGAGCGAACGGACGAGAAGCUUGCUUCUCUGGUGUUAGCGGCGGACGGGUGAGUAACACGUGGAUAACCUACCUAUAAGACUGGGAUAACUUCGGGAAACCGUAGCUAAUACCGGAUAAUAUUUUGAACCGCAUGGUUCAAAAGUGAAAGACGGUCUUGCUGUCACUUAUAGAUGGAUCCGCGCUGCAUUAGCUAGUUGGUAAGGUAACGGCUUACCAAGGCAACGAUGCAUAGCCGACCUGAGAGGGUGAUCGGCCACACUGGAACUGAGACACGGUCCAGACUCCUACGGGAGGCAGCAGUAGGGAAUCUUCCGCAAUGGGCGAAAGCCUGACGGAGCAACGCCGCGUGAGUGAUGAAGGUUUUCGGAUCGUAAAACUCUGUUAUUAGGGAAGAACAUAUGUGUAAGUAACUGUGCACAUCUUGACGGUACCUAAUCAGAAAGCCACGGCUAACUACGUG